rnacentral:rRNA from 1 species
UACAGAGGGUGCGAGCGUUAAUCGGAAUUACUGGGCGUAAAGCGUGCGUAGACGGUUAUUUAAGUCGGGUGUGAAAGCCCCGGGCUCAACCUGGGAAUUGCAUUCGAGACUGAAUAGCUAGGGUACGGUAGAGGGAAGCGGAAUUUCCGGUGUAGCGGUGAAAUGCGUAGAUAUCUGGAGGAACAUCAGUGGCGAAGGCGACUUCCUGGACCAAUACUGACGCUCAGGUGCGAAAGCGUGGGGAGCAAACAGG